UGAGGAAUAUUGGGCAAUGGACGCAAGUCUGACCCAGCAACGCCGCGUGGAGGAUGAAGGUCUUUGGAUUGUAAACUCCUUUUGCAGGGGAAGAGUGAGGACGGUACCCUGAGAAUAAGUCACGGCUAACUACGUGCCAGCAGCCGCGGUAAUACGUAGGUGACGAGCGUUAUCCGGAUUUAUUGGGCGUAAAGCGCACGCAGGCGGCGCAACAAGUCUGACGUGAAAUCUCCCGGCUUAACUGGGAGCGGUCGUUGGAAACUGUUGUGCUUGAGGCGAUGAGAGGGGUGUGGAAUUCCCGGUGUAGUGGUGGAAUGCGUAGAUAUCGGGAGGAACAUCAGUGGCGAAAGCGGCACCCUGGCAUUAGCCUGACGCUCAGGUGCGAAAGCGUGGGGAGCGAACGG
rnacentral:rRNA from 1 species